rnacentral:rRNA from 1 species
UACGAAGGGGGGCUAGCGUUGUUCGGAUUUACUGGGCGUAAAGCGCACGUAGGCGGAUCGUUAAGUCGGGGGUGAAAUCCUGGAGCUCAACUCCAGAACUGCCUUCGAUACUGGCGAUCUAGAGUCCGGAAGCAGGUGAGUGGAACUCCUAGUGUAGAGGUGGAAUUCGUAGAUAUUAGGAAGAACACCAGUGGCGAAGGCGGCUCACUGGUCCGGUACUGACGCUGAGGUGCGAAAGCGUGGGGAGCAAACAGG